GGUAACAGUAGGCCAGAGUGCAAAUCUGGAAACGUACCCAGGAGGUGCCGGGGCUU
rnacentral:tRNA from 1 species